GGUAACGCGGUUCCAGCGUCCGGGGUAAUACUGAGGGUGGAAGCGUUAUCCGGAUUUAUUGGGUUUAAAGGGUCCGUAGGCGGAUCUAUAAGUCAGUGGUGAAAUCUCACAGCUUAACUGUGAAACUGCCGUUGAUACUGUAGGUCUUGAGUAAAGUUGAAGUGGCUGGAAUAAGUAGUGUAGCGGUGAAAUGCAUAGAUAUUACUUAGAACACCAAGUGCGAAGGCAGGUCACUAAGAUUUAACUGACGCUGAGGGACGAAAGCGUGGGGAGCGAACAGGAUUAGAUACCCUAGUAGUC
rnacentral:rRNA from 1 species